rnacentral:rRNA from 1 species
CCCUAUGGGGUGAACGGCGGCGAUCGCCAGGAUAUCCUCUUUAGCUUCGCCGGUGAAGUCGAAGCUGUCUCCCUCAUAUCCGACCAGGAGCUCGACCCUCUUCAGCCUCUGGCUGAAUAUCUGAUAAGCCAGGCACAGGUUCUCCGGGGAGGGCAUCUGUACCCAUGAUUCUGUUGGAGGACGGAUGGGAACGGAGAUAUAGGAUACUUCAGGAUCGAUCUCCUCCAGGAACUCAGCUAGGGCCAGGAGGCUGGCCUUACAAUCGUUUAUGCCGGCUAAGAGCAUGCUCUCCGUGGCCAGGAUGCCACUAUAUUCCCGGGCGAAAUCUUUGAUUCCCUGAAGGAUCGUAUCGAGCCUGAGACUGCGGUGGGGC